rnacentral:ncRNA from 1 species
UAUUUAAAGUUUUAUUUUAGCUUAAAAAUUUAUUAUUAAUUUAAUUUAUAUGUAAAUUUUUGUGAGAGUUUUUAUUUAUUUUAAAAAUAAAUAUAAAUUUAUUUAUUCGCAGUAAUUAAUUUUAUUAAUUAAGUAAAUUUAGAUAUAGUAAUAUUAGUGAGUAUUGACAAAAUUUGUGCCAGCAGUCGCGGUUAUACAAAUAAUGCAAAUAAAUUAUUUUAGUUAAAGUUAAUUAUUUAUGAUAUAAAAUUUUAAUAAAUUUAUUAGGUGAAAUUUUGAAUUUAUUUAGGUUUAGUAUAAAAAAUUUGAAGCUUAGAAAUUUUAUUUAUAAACUAGGAUUAGAUACCCUAUUAUUUAAAAUGUAGUAGAUAAACUUAGGUAGUAAUAGUUAUGAUCUUGAAACUUAAAAAAUUUGGCGGUAUUUUAGUCUAUUCAGAGGAACCUGUUCUAUAAUCGAUAGUCCACGAUGGACCUUACUUAAAUUGGUAAUCAGCUUAUAUACCGUCGUUAUUAGAAUAUUUUAUAAGAAGAGUAAUGUUCAUAAUAUUUAGUAGAUAAAAUAUCAGAUCAAGGUGUAGUUAAUGUUUAAGUAGAAAUGGGUUACAAUAAAGUUAUUUAUAUGGAUAUAGAUUUGAAAUAGAGCUAUUGAAGGUGGAUUUGGUAGUAAAUUUAUAGAGAUUAAUUUUUUGAUUUUUUAGCUCUAAAAUAUGUACACAUCGCCCGUCGCUCUUAUUAUAAAGUAAGAUAAGUCGUAACAUAGUAGAUGUACUGGAAAGUGUAUCUAGAAUG